rnacentral:lncRNA from 1 species
UAUUCAGGUAACAAAAUCUUCUCCAGCACAUUGGAUAGCUAAAUCAAAAAUCUUUGCAUUGUUAAGAGAAGAUGGGUAUAAGAUUUUUUUUUUAAUAAAGUGCCACAUCUACAGGUCAGCUCAAGCUCAAGGGCCAUAGAUUCUUCAGCUAGUCCAGACCCUCUUAUUCUAUAGCAGCUUUUCUCUCAUGCCCCAAACCAGACCAUAAUCCUGGGGCCUCCAAAGCUCACCUGGCUUGACUUUCUACUUUCCACCAUCAUCAGAAAACAAGAAGAAAAGACAGAUUUCAAAAGUCAUUUGAAGAACUAAUGUCCUCAUGGAUCAUGACCAGGUUUGAAGAGAAAAUGAAUCUCAUUUUUGGUGAGAAAUCUUUGUAUUCUACCUUUCCUUAGCUGACACAGUGUGUCAAAGAUUAUAAGCUAUAUAUUUUUUUUAUUUUUAAGACACUUUUAUUAUUGUUUUUACUUGCAUUUGCAACAUACUAUUUCAGUUUUAUUUUUUCCUCUCC